AUUGAACGCUGGCGGCAGGCCUAACACAUGCAAGUCGAGCGAGCGGCGGACGGGUGAGUACUGUAUGGGGACUGCCCGAUAGAGGGGGAUAACUACUGGAAACGGUAGCUAAUACCGCAUACUAUCGGCUAACCAAUAUGGGAUUAGCUAGUGGGUGAGGUAAUGGCUCACCUGGGCGACGAUCCCUAGCUGGUCUGAGAGGAUGAUCAGCCACACGGGGACUGAGAAACGGCCCAGACGCCUACGGAGGCAGCAGUGGGGAAUAUUGGACAAUGGGCGCAAGCCUGAUGCAGCCAUGCCGCGUGUAUGAAGAAGGCCCUAGGGUUGUAAAGUCCUGUUAGUCGGGAAGCGGUACCGAAAGAAGAAGCACCGGCUAACUACGUGCCAGCAGCCGCGGUAAUUC
rnacentral:rRNA from 1 species